rnacentral:rRNA from 1 species
CCUACGGGUGGCAGCAGUGGGGGAUAUUGCACAAUGGGGGAAACCCUGAUGCAGCGACGCCGCGUGUGGGAAGACGGUCCUAUGGAUUGUAAACCACUGUCACCUGGGACGAAGAUGACGGUACCUGGGGAGGAAGCUCCGGCUAACUACGUGCGAGCAGCCGCGGUAAUACGUAGGUAGCGCGCGUUUGCCGGAAUUACUGGGUGUAAAGGGAGCGUAGGCGGGACUGCAAGUUGGGUGUCAAAUCUACCGGCUCAACCGGAAGCCGCACUCGAAAAUGCAGUUCUUGAGUGAAGUAGAGGCAGGCGGAAUUCCUGGUGUAGCGGUGAAAUGCGUAGAUAUUAGGAGGAACACCAGUGGCGAAGGCGGCCUGCUGGACUUUCACUGACGCUGAGGCUCGAAAGUGUGGGGAGCAAACAGGAUUAGAUACCCCAGUAGUC